GACGAACGCUGGCGGCGUGCCUAAUACAUGCAAGUAGAACGCUGAAGAAGAGGAGCUUGCUCUUCUUGGAUGAGUUGCGAACGGGUGAGUAACGCGUAGGUAACCUGCCUUGUAGCGGGGGAUAACUAUUGGAAACGAUAGCUAAUACCGCAUAACAAUGGAUGACACAUGUCAUUUAUUUGAAAGGGGCAAUUGCUCCACUACAAGAUGGACCUGCGUUGUAUUAGCUAGUAGGUGAGGUAACGGCUCACCUAGGCGACGAUACAUAGCCGACCUGAGAGGGUGAUCGGCCACACUGGGACUGAGACACGGCCCAGACUCCUACGGGAGGCAGCAGUAGGGAAUCUUCGGCAAUGGGGGCAACCCUGACCGAGCAACGCCGCGUGAGUGAAGAAGGUUUUCGGAUCGUAAAGCUCUGUUGUAAGUCAAGAACGAGUGUGAGAGUGGAAAGUUCACACUGUGACGGUAGCUUACCAGAAAGGGACGGCUAACUACGUGCCAGCAGCCGCGGUAAUACGUGGGUCCCGAGCGCUGUCCGGAUUUAUUGGGCGUAAAGCGAGCGCAGCGGUUUGAUAAGUCUGAAGUUAAGGCUGUGGCUCACCAUAGUUCGCUUUGGAAACUGUCAAACUUGAGUGCAGAAGGGGAGAGUGGAAUUCCAUGUGUAGCGGUGAAAUGCGUAGAUAUAUGGAGGAACACCGGUGGCGAAAGCGGCUCUCUGGUCUGUAACUGACGCUGAGGCUCGAAAGCGUGGGGAGCGAACAGGAUUAGAUACCCUGGUAGUCCACGCCGUAAACGAUGAGUGCUAGGUGUUGGAUCCUUUCCGGGAUUCAGUGCCGCAGCUAACGCAUUAAGCACUCCGCCUGGGGAGUACGACCGCAAGGUUGAAACUCAAAGGAAUUGACGGGGGCCCGCACAAGCGGUGGAGCAUGUGGUUUAAUUCGAAGCAACGCGAAGAACCUUACCAGGUCUUGACAUCCCGAUGCUAUUUCUAGAGAUAGAAAGUUACUUCGGUACAUCGGUGACAGGUGGUGCAUGGUUGUCGUCAGCUCGUGUCGUGAGAUGUUGGGUUAAGUCCCGCAACGAGCGCAACCCCUAUUGUUAGUUGCCAUCAUUCAGUUGGGCACUCUAGCGAGACUGCCGGUAAUAAACCGGAGGAAGGUGGGGAUGACGUCAAAUCAUCAUGCCCCUUAUGACCUGGGCUACACACGUGCUACAAUGGUUGGUACAACGAGUUGCGAGUCGGUGACGGCAAGCUAAUCUCUUAAAGCCAAUCUCAGUUCGGAUUGUAGGCUGCAACUCGCCUACAUGAAGUCGGAAUCGCUAGUAAUCGCGGAUCAGCACGCCGCGGUGAAUACGUUCCCGGGCCU
rnacentral:rRNA from 1 species